rnacentral:lncRNA from 1 species
CAGACGCCCUAACAGCCUAAUUCCCACAAGUUUCAGGAUUUGUGCAUCUUACAUCGGAAGGACCACCUCCCUCAGCCAAAGUCUUCGGUGCGUUCCCUGCCCUGGGAAUAGCUCUUCCUUAUUCCCCGCAUUCUGUUUCGAAUGCCCGUUCUUGGCACUGGGCCUGUUACGUCCCUUCGGACUUCAACGAGGAUUCUACCCCCGGAGUAGUGAGACCUCAGAAAGUUUAAAAUCACAUCGCUUUCCGAGAGCAGUUACUCGAAUAAUUAACAAUAUGAUAAAAGAGACUAUUGCCCGACUCACAAUAUUAAGGAUUUUGGCGCCGUGCUGGAUUCUAAACUGAACACUGGGGACACCUUGGUCAACAAAAUGGCGAUCCCUGUCCUCGGAGAGUACACCCUGUUUUGCAGAGUAAGCGAGAGGAGGGGGUACGUUUGAGGAGAUGACAAACACAGGUGCAGAUAAUUCACUUUAAUGUAGGGCUGAAACACAGGUGCGCCCUGGGUGCUACAGGGGUGAGGGAAGGACUUUUGGAGAAGGUAACUGAACUGAAUGAAAGACUGUAGGAAAGCCACAAUAUAUAUGGUAUUUGCUGAAUGGAUUCACAAAUUACCAAGAAGAGGGAACAACAGAGAAGGAACAAAACUACUUGAAACACUGUACCAAUGUGAUUCACACAUAAUAGUGGCUCAGUAAAUAUUUGAUGCAUGAAUGAAAAUUACAUACUGUUAUUCAUUAUUAGAAAAUGAAGUAGGAAUAGAACAAAGUGGGUCUGGAGAGAAAAAUAGGCAUGAGGUUCUAAAAACCUUAUGUAGUUUUCUAAACAUUUCAGCAAAUAUGUAUUGAAAUUCUACUGUGUUUCAUGUACUUUAUUCUGCAGGCAAUAAUAUUUUGGAAAGUUUUAAUAUGAAAGGAUGAAAAGUUUUCAUUCUGAUAAUUUUUAAGCUUAUAUGGAUUAACAUAAAAUAGGACUCUGCAGAAAUCCUUUGAGUUCUUUGCAUGAAUUUAUAAGUCAUUUGUGCAUCCUUUAGUUCAUUCAUUAUAUAAAUAUUUAAUUGAAUGCCUAGCUGAGACAGAUAACUUUGGAAGGCCCUCAAAAUACAACAAUGAAGGGGGAAAAAACCUCUCUCUCAAGUUGCUCACAAAUUAGAUGAUGACACAGUAAGAGCCUCACUUUAUUUUUUUUUUUUUAAUUUUUUUUAUUUUUUAUUGACUUUGUAAUAAUAUUACAUUAAAAAUAUAUAUGUGAGGUCCCAUUCAACCCCAC